UUUUUGGCCACUAGGUGUCAAUCUUGAACUGUUUUUGAAUUACAAAGUGUGUGUCCGAUAGACUGCAUUGAAUGGUGUAUGUGCAUGUAAAUGUCCCCAACAGAGCUCCCAAGUGAAAAAGACAUCGCUGCUGCCUUAGUCAAGGGAAAUGGAGACACACACAAGGCAGAGCCACCAUGAUACCCACUGGUUUUCAACAGUAGAUCGGUUUGGAUACACUUCAACUAGCUGAGUCGAUACAUGGUCUUCCCUGGUGCUUGAAGAUGCUGCCUAUUUCCUCAUCAGCCCCAGAGGAAUACAGCUGGGUAGGCUGAAGUUGAGACAUCGAGAGACAGAGGCUGCAGAAGCAGUACAAGAACACACUGGGGACUCAGACCUGGAUGCUGUAAGGGAAGCCUGCCUGCCCUACCUCGACUGCAGACAGCCACCCAAACUGCAAGAGGCAUGUCUCAGCCUGUGGAGCUGAGUGGGAUGGGCUUUAAGAAGACCGAGUACACAGACAACAUCCUGAAACUCUUGGGAGGAUUUUGGGUUACCUCUGGACACACAGCCAGCAGCAAUAGAGAUCCAGUGAUCUGCACCAAUAAACAGUUCCCCAGUCAUCCACCCGACUGUCCCCAGGCGGAGGAAGGAACACUACACUGACGACAGCCACAGGACCACAGCGUGUCCUAGUCUUCCCCAACCUCUUUUCAGGGACUGUACCUUGCAGACAUCAUCCUAUAGUUUAACAGUGACUUUGAAACACAAAUGUUAAGUGCUGAUUCUGUACAAGUGUUGUGUUGGGUAAAGGUGUACAUAUUCCAAUGUGCUCACAAGGGAUGGACUAAAGGCCAGUAUUUUGAAUGUUCAAGUAGUAAUUAAGUCUUUAUUAUAAUAGUUUUUUUUUUUAAAUGCCUGACUUUCAUUGUAACUGCUUAGCCUUUCAUACAAGUAGAUAUAGCAAUCGAUGUCAUAUUUGACCUUUUCCACCAUAAGUAGAAUGGCAGAGCUUUCAUUUUGCCUUCCAUUCCAGCUUCAAAUUCACAUCUUGGUUCCAUUCCUCCUUUAAUAACCAGACGUCAUGGUCAUUCCACACAAACCUCCCAUUGAUUCACACAGAAUAGAUCUGCUACUUGCUGCACAAAUGCCUGAUUGAAUGUUGUCGCAUGAUUUUGAAUACAACUUGAACUCCCCUGAGGGUUCAAGUGUAGGUUACAGCCCGGGCUUGUUUGUCAAGUCUUGUUUAGACUGAGGGGUCUGGAAGAAUCUCUGUGACAUCAUAAUGAAUGUGUGUGCCGGGGAAAUGGGAACAGGGUUGCCACAUGUUUUGCGUUGGCGAGGGAGCGCUUUAUCUCCUCCGUACUUUGCUAUUUAUCCAGCUGACAAUGCUGACAAUAGCGUCAUUACUCAUCAACCAUGGAGGGCCUGUAUGGCAGCCCAUAAAAACACAGCCAGGGAUAGGAUAAUGCGAUAUCCCCCAAAACCAGGCUUUUUAUUCUGUUAAUCAUCAAAUCAUCUGACACAAGCAUGGCUUGACUGAUUAGGCAGGCACUGCUUGGCACACCAAUGGAUAGAUAAUACAGUUCUGAGAAAAUGACAUACUGUAAGACCGAAUGUGUUGAUUGCUGCUCAGGAUACAUGGGCGUGAGGAAGGAGACUGGUGAGAGAAAAUGUGCGACUGCCUUAUGAGGUAACUGUGAUGGAGUAUUCUGAAUUGUAAUAAUUAUGUCUUUACAAUGGCAGCAUACAAAUCAGUGUGUGUUCGCAUAUAAAUGAUAGCAAGGUCAGACGUCGACUUUUCAGGAAUGUAAAUACAAACAUUUUCGAUCUAUCAAAAUCUCAAGGGCUUACAUAUUACAGGUACUGAAUUAUUAAAUAUUCUGAAGGCAGAUCACAUUCAAGUCGCAAUAGAUGGGUUCAUGUACACUUUAUUUAAUUUGAUAAAGGCAUAAAUUUAGUGUGAGACCAACAUCCUAGAAGACAUUCUAAAAUGUACAACAUUUUUACAAUGAUUUCUUACAAAACAUCAAAGCAAAGGUUAGAGCAAGAAACAAUUCCAUUAUCUAUCAGGUCUUUCUCACAGCCACAUUAUCUGUUGGGAAAGCACACAACACAAUGAACAGGUUAUACUUUAUAAACAUUGGUUUCCAUCCAGCUCUGGUUGGAUGGAAACCUGGACUUAUCUGAACUCUGGAUUUACCAUGGAGAAACAGCGAAUGAACUGCUCAGAAAACAAACCCAAAUGAAUAAAGCAACAAGUAACCCUUCCAGCUUAUACGUCCUCUUAGGUGAUUGAAAAAGUUUGUAAGAAAACAUGUUAAACAUGCACUUUUUAUCAUUAUAUACAGUAACAUGUACAGUGUAGACAAUCUAGAGCAGGGAUGGGCAACUGGCAGAUCAAACCCAAAACAAUUUAUUGAAAUAAAUAAAUAGGAACUAAUUCGGGGGAAUUGACUGUUGAGAGUUAAGUUGUGCAUCAGCCGUCUUUAUCUUAUGUCAGUCACUGAAACUCACUCAAUUAGCUACACAUUUUU